rnacentral:lncRNA from 1 species
CCAUAAGGAAGAAAAAGAGAGGAAAUAGAGAGGAAAGGAAGAAGAAAAGAAAAACCAAAGAGAAACAAGAAAAUUCAAAGAGAAAUUCGCGGUUUUCGACCGUUUACGCGUCUAACGGUAAGAUUUUUCGAUUUUAGCUUGAUUUCUACCUUUCCUAUGCCUUUAUUUCCAUUUAGCAUGCUUGAGGAGAGAGAUCAAAAAGUGAUAUCAAGGGCUGGACGAAAUUCUAGGGGAGAGAAAUUGAAAUUUUUAGGUUUUGAUUUUUAGUUAAAUUGAUAGUUUUAGUUAGUUAAAUGUGUUUAGAAAUUAAAUUGGGCAAGAAAUCAUUAAAUUUUCACAAUACCCACUCUUGGCUGGAUGCUCAAUGCUGUACAAUGAUGAUGAAUUGAUUUUAUUCUAAGGAAAAUGAAGAGAAAAUGAUGAAAAACGAUUAAACGUGAUAGAAAAACAAAGUAGAAAAUUAACCGAGUUAAUGUCCCAUUUUUGGCCGAAUUUUCCAAGGAAGGGAGUGAGCUGAUUUUGUUGUUUUUAGAAGGUUAUUGGCUGAUAUUUAAUGGUUAGAAAUGUUGGAGAGAGAAUGGGAUGAUUUAGAGCUAAAAUGGAGCGCGUUAGCAAUUUAUCGGGCAAAGUGCCAAAAAUAGGUUAAUACCGCGUUUAAGCCGUUUUAGGCUAUUGCAUUUCAUACCAUGCAUUAGUAUAGGAUUUAAGUUAAUUAUAUAGUGAUUUAGCAUCAAUGUGAUGAAUUGUGUAAAUUUUUGUAAUGUGUCUAGGAGGAGAGCCUUCCGGAAAAGGCAAAGAAGUCGUACCCGACGAGUAGUGAUCGGGGCGCUUAGAAAGCUUUUAGUUUGUACAAACGGUGAGUAAACUUAUUAUUAUUGUAAAUUAUCUAGAGUUUAUUUUUAAAUGCCCUUUAUGUAUUUUAUGAAAUGAAAACGAGAUUAAAACGGGAUUUUUGAUGUUUUAGGAAUAAAUGUGACAAAUAAAAAUAUAUUGUAUUGAUUAUGAAAUUGAGUAAUUGGAGGCUACAAAUUGACUUGAAAAAUAUAUAUUUUCCUAGGAAUGGCUUAUGAGAAAUGAGUAUAUGUGGCUAUAUUUUGUGAAUGCAUUGGGAAAUUUAUGUAAGUUGUUUUACUAUGCAGGCUGGAUAAAUAAAUAAAAGCCACGUUAUACUGUCGAAAUUUUAUUAAAAUUGGUGGGUUAGUCACUGCAGUGACGGGUUUCCGUGGACUGCCUAUUAGAGGGGCACGGUAAACCCAGUUAUAUAGUUACUCCGGUUGUAGAGGCGAGGAGGGUAACUCCUGGGGUAGUAUUAGAGCUCACUUCACGUCGAACCCCCACGUGAAUGUGUAACUCGGCCAACGCCAAGGAACGGCUGGUUUUAAAAAUAAAAAUGUGUUUCACGUGUGAAUAUUUUAACACCCUUGGCGGACUCGGUUAGAUGCCUCGGCCAAGGUAUCCCCGAGGAUUAGUUUUGGCUUGAGCCUUGUUUUAAUAAAAGACAUAAGCCUUAACAACUGUUUUGGUAAAUUACAAAUAUUUUAUGGUUUAAGAAAUAAAUUGAAAACAUUAUGAAAUGGGUUGAAAUUUGUUGUUUAAACUUGCCUCCAUUUUACUCGCCUUUAGAUAUUUAUGAUAAUGUCUGUUUACUCAUUGGGAUUGCAAAAUCUCACCCAACUCCUUUCCACCCAUUUCAGGUUCAGUAUAGACUGUAGAUAGCUGAUCUCAUCGAGGACUACCAUUGGAUCUGCAUUUUCCAAACCGUAGGUUCACAGUCCUCUUUACUUUUGUUUAUUCGGGGGCCCUCUUGUUAUUGUAAAUUAAAUUAAAUAUUUUGGCUUACUGUAUUUCAGUAUGUAUAAAUUUAUUUAGCUUUUACGCUAUAAAAAUUAUUCACGUAUAACUCUAUAAAUAUUGUUUUAUAAGAAAAUAGAAUAUUUUCCUUAAUAUUUCUUUUAUUUUCUUAUUAUAUUCAAAUAACCGUAAUUUCGUUUUAAAUGAAGAUUUUAGACUUUUAAACUCAUUUUGAAUAUGAAUUAUGUGUUUUGUACUUGUAUAUUACAUUUUAGCCAGUUUCAAAAUUUUUGAAAAAAAAUUACCAAAAUACCCCUGUGUGGCGAAAAGUUUAUUUUGAUUGUUUUUGAUCUAAAAUAGUAUAUAUUCUCUAAAAACUCAAUAUUUAACAAUGAUUGCUCACAGGAAAAGAAAGAAACUAAUAUGUAAUCCUUGUGGGGUUCCGGUUGGCAUUCCGGAUAAUGAGUGUCAAUCGGGACGUCACGGCAAUUGUCAUGGGCCUAAGGGAGGUUCCGGGUCGUGACAGGGAGAGUAGCUAAAAGUAAUUUUUCUACAAAUCCUUUAAUUAAACCAGUUGAACAUGAUGUGAUGGUUAAGAAAUUAAGGGGUAUUUGUGUACCAAAAAAGAAUGGUAAGCCAUAAGUUGGGUGUUGCUCUACCAUAAAAUCUUUCACUAAAAAAGAAAGUAAGAGUAAAAAAAGCGACAUCAUCAACCUUUACUGGUGUGCUAAGUCAAAUGGUGACAAAAGGAGGCCUUUGGGUCAAUGUUGGGUGAUAUGGCAGUCCAGCCUGUGAUUAAUGAUAUGAUGGUCGAGGGUAGCAAUGAGGGUUUUUUGAACUCUUAAUCUAUUUCUUAUAUUUUAUAAUAUAAUUAUGGGUCUGAAAGUUUUUAUGUGGAAUUGCCAAGGUAUAGGAAGUAGUGAUUGUAUCGUAGUGAUGAAGGAUUAGAUUGCUAAAUACAAGUUGUGGGCUCCAUUAGGGUUGAUGAUAAUAAAACAUUCCCAUUCAUUUGUGUCUAAUAUCUCUACUUGAGUGUACACGACAAAAAUUGUAUGCCAAGAAUAAAUAAAUCAUUCAAAGGCACAUAUCAAAAAUUAUAUGAAUAAGGGAGCUACAAUUGAUCAACAAAACAGAAGCCUCUUAGUUGGAUAAUGAAGGGUGUUAGUAUGCUAAAAUUCAAAUUAGAAGUUGGCAGGUUCAAGAAGUUUGAGAAACAAAGAAGAGUUAGUCGACCAAGAAGUAAGUUAGUCAACUAAGGGCCUACUGCCAGAAAUCUGAACUUCAAGAUAGAAACAACUUAAUCAACUAAGAAGGAAGUUAGUCGACUAAGAGCUCACUACCAAAAACUGAGAUUAGAAGAUAUAGACAACUUAGUCGACUAAGAGUGCAGUUAGUCGACUAAGAUCAUUCUGUCAGAAAAUUUGAAUUGAGCACUAGAAGACAGAUUAACGGCCAGAACUGCCACCAAACUAUUUCCAAAGGUCAAAAACUGUAAAACCUGACCCCAUAAACAUAUGUCAUGACAUACAUGCACUGAGUAGCAUGAUAUUAUGCUAGGAAAGCACCUAAGAAUAGACGAAACCCAGUAUCGUACCUAACGGUACACUUGAGUCGAUUUAACCUUGAACUAGUUCAAAUAGAAAUCGUAGGAUGAAAUUUAAUAUUUUAUAGUCAAGGAAUGACUAAAAAUGAUUGUUUGGAGUUCGAGGGUUCAUUAGGGGUAAAAUUAAAAAUUUUGAUGUUUAGGGGCAAAAAUCGUCAUUUUGCCACCUAAGAUAAUAAUUUGAUCAUGGAGUGAAAUUUUUGACCAAGAUUAACUAUUUGGAGUAUAAUUUAAUGAUAGGAAGUGAAAAAGUUUAAUUCUGGUGAUUUUUAGAGUAUAGGGGCAAAAUCGUAAUUUUGCCACCCACGGACAAAAUUUGAGAUUUUGAGAGAAUUUAGAUCAAAUUUGACAAAUUGGAGAAUGGUAUGAGUAGAAGGGAUGAAAAAUAUGUCUAUGGGCAAUUUUUCAAUUUUUUGGUAAAAAUGUAAUUUUUGACUUUCACGGGGGCAAACGUGUAAAUUUCAAAAAUUACUCCACCGAGACUUUGGAUAAGUCUGAGAAUUUUAUCUAAGCUAUGGAUAUGUGGGACAAGUGUAUGGUGAAAAUUUGGAAACAAAUGCAUAAAAUUUUAAAAAUGGGCCAAUAGGAAAGUGACACGUGACAUUUUUAAAAAUGAUAUAAUAUUAUUUUAAUAAAAAGUCAGCCCAUUUAAACCCCAUUUUAAGUGCUGGCCAGCCAUAAGGAAGAACAAGAGAGGAAAUAGAGAGGAAAGGAAGAAAAAAAGAAAAACCAAAGAGAAACAAGAAAAUUCAAAGGGAAAUUCGCGGUUUUCGACCGUUUACGCGUCUAACGGUAAGAUUUUUCGAUUUUAGCUUGAUUUCUACCUUUCCUAUGCCUUUAUUUCCAUUUAGCAUGCUUGAGGAGAGAGAUCAAAAAGUGAUAUCAAGGGCUGGACGAAAUUCUAGGGGAGAGAAAUUGAAAUUUUUAGGUUUUGAUUUUUAGUUAAAUUGAUAGUUUUAGUUAGUUAAAUGUGUUUAGAAAUUAAAUUGGGCAAGAAAUCAUUAAAUUUUCACAAUACCCACUCUUGGCUGGAUGCUCAAUGCUGUACAAUGAUGAUGAAUUGAUUUUAUUCUAAGGAAAAUGAAGAGAAAAUGAUGAAAAACGAUUAAACGUGAUAGAAAAACAAAGUAGAAAAUUAACCGAGUUAAUGUCCCAUUUUUGGCCGAAUUUUCCAAGGAAGGGAGUGAGCUGAUUUUGUUGUUUUUAGAAGGUUAUUGGCUGAUAUUUAAUGGUUAGAAAUGUUGGAGAGAGAAUGGGAUGAUUUAGAGCUAAAAUGGAGCGCGUUAGCAAUUUAUCGGGCAAAGUGCCAAAAAUAGGUUAAUACCGCGUUUAAGCCGUUUUAGGCUAUUGCAUUUCAUACCAUGCAUUAGUAUAGGAUUUAAGUUAAUUAUAUAGUGAUUUAGCAUCAAUGUGAUGAAUUGUGUAAAUUUUUGUAAUGUGUCUAGGAGGAGAGCCUUCCGGAAAAGGCAAAGAAGUCGUACCCGACGAGUAGUGAUCGGGGCGCUUAGAAAGCUUUUAGUUUGUACAAAC